CUUGGCACUGAACAUUGACCCUACAUGUGUAGGAUAGGUGGGAGGCUUUGAAGCACGUACGCCAGUAUGUGUGGAGCCGUCCUUGAAAUACCACCCUUGUAGUGUUGAUGUUCUAACGUCGACCCCUGAUCGGGGUUGCGGACAGUGCCUGGUGGGUAGUUUGACUGGGGCGGUCUCCUCCCAAAGAGUAACGGAGGAGCACGAAGGUGGGCUAAUCACGGUUGGACAUCGUGAGGUUAGUGCAAUGGCAUAAGC
rnacentral:rRNA from 1 species